CGUUCAGUCCUGUCCAUGGCAUUUUCCAGGCAAGAAUACCAGCGUGGGUUGCCAUUUCCUUCUUGGGGGGAUCUUCUUGAUCCAGGGACUGAACCUGUAUCUCUUGGGUCUCCUACAUUGGCAGGCGGAUUCUGGGCCACCUAGGAAGCCCAAACAAGCUAUGAAUACAGACAUCUGGAGACCAGACCAACCCUCAGCAAACGGAAGAUGUUGGGUUGCUGCUGCCACCUGCUGGUGACCACUGGAACUUGGCUGAGGAGCCUGCUGAAGGGGGUGUCCUCCCUGCGCAGAGGUCCAGGGGCUCCACUCGCACCUGCCUGGCACUGCCAGCUGGCUACACAGUUGUCACAGCAACUCAGUGCGGAGGGAAUGUUCACAAGGCGAACCGAUUAUAUUUCAUAUAGGUUAUUACAGGACAUUGGGUAUAACUGCUGCAAGGCACCGACGUGCAAGGGCACUCCAGGGUGAACCACAGCUGGAGCUGUGUCAGUACGCAACAUGCCAUCACAGGUCUGUGUUUUCUCGGGGGUGGGGAGCCUAAAAGGUAUGUAAAUGCAGAGAAAAAGGCCUGGAGAAGAAAGCAGCCUGCAGGUUUAAAGAGAAUGGAUUAAGUAUGGCUUAUGUUAGCAAAAAGGAGUAAAAAUGAAGAGUGUGGGCUUCCCUGGUGGCUCAGAUGGUAAAGACCCCACCUGCAAUACAGGAGACCUGGGUUUGAUCCCUGUGUCAGGAAGAUCCCCUGAUGAAGGGAGUGGCACACCACUCCUGUAUGCUUGCCUGGGGAACUUCAUGGACAGGAACCUGGUGGGCUACAGUCCAUGGGGUCACAGAGUUGGGCAUGACUGAACGACUCACACCUUAUGUAAGUAAAAAGGAGUAAGAAUGGAGUGUGGAGGGACAAGGAACCCAGAGGACAGACCUUCGGGGGUCAGGGCGUGCUGUCACUCGGGGUGAACAGGACAUGACCCCUCUGGCUUGGUGCUCCCCACUCCCAUCCCGUGUUUUACUAGGUAAGUGAAAAGUCGCUCAGUCGUGUCCGACUCUUUUCGACCCCAUGAACUGGAAUUCUCCAGCCCAGAAUACUGGAGUGGGCAGCCGUUCCCUUCUCCAGAGGAUCUUUCUAACCCAGGGAUCGAACCCAGGUCUCCCACACUGCAGGCAGAGUGUUUUACUAGGUGGUCAGUGUUUAAAAUCUUUUUUUUCUAAACAUGAAUUCUUUCUCACCCUGGGCAUGCAGAUUUUAAUUUUCCAUAGUUCCUACCCUGCCUGGUAUUAACCAGGCCACUUUAUAUUACCUGCCUGGCCCUGAUCUGAUCUCAUAGCUUCUGGUCUACACUUCCGGUUUUGCAAACCCUGGGUGCAGAGCUUAGAAGGGCAGAGAGCUACCUUGGGUGGGGGCUAGCUGAGGGGGUGGAUGGACACACGGACAGAUUGAUGGGAUGGGUGGGGGCGGGAGGGAAGGAGGAAGUCA
rnacentral:lncRNA from 1 species